CAUGGUUCCCGCCAAUGAGCUUUGUUAUUCUCAAACGUUGUUUUCCUGUCUUCAAAGUUCAAGUUGCCAUUUGCCAUAGCACUCUGUUAUUACUUCUUACCUUAGUGACUAAUUUACUUCUGCAUCUGCAGUUGCUUGAAUUUUAGGGACACUGAAAGUGUGCGGAUACUCCUUAAGCUUGCACGAAAUGGAAAUUGACGUUAAUGAGAGCUCCAUGUCAGUCGAUCCAACAAAAACCAGUGGAAAGAAGGACAAUAUGCCAUGGGUAGAAAAAUAUCGCCCAGUAACUUUCAAAGAGAUAGUUGGAAAUGAAGAUGCAGUUGGGAGAUUGGAUGUUUUUGCAAGAGAAGGGAAUACCCCUAACAUCAUAAUUGCUGGGCCUCCUGGUGUGGGAAAAACAACAACCAUUCUUUGCCUGGCUCGCACCUUACUUGGACAAAACUAUAAAGAUGCUGUAUUAGAACUUAAUGCAUCAAAUGAAAGAGGAAUUGAUGUCGUGAGGAACAAAAUAAAAAUGUUUGCACAACAAAAAGUUACUUUACCAAAAGGCAGACAAAAAAUUAUUAUUUUGGAUGAAGCAGACAGCAUGACCGAAGGUGCCCAGCAGGCUCUCCGACGGACCAUGGAACUGUACAGUAAAACGACGCGGUUUGCAUUGGCCUGUAAUACUAGUGAUAAAAUAAUAGAGCCGAUUCAGAGUCGAUGUGCCAUGAUUAGGUAUGGAAAAUUAAGUGAUGCGCAAAUUCUUGCGAAGGUGAUAGAAGUCUGUCAAUUAGAACAUGUCAGUCACACUGAUGAUGGACUGGAAGCAAUUGUCUUUACGGCACAAGGGGAUUUACGACAGGCAUUAAACAAUCUGCAGGCAACAGUACAAGGAUUUGGUCACGUAAACAGUGAAAAUGUUUUUAAGGUGACAUCGACUUCCGUUGUAAGUUUCUGCAUCAGGUAUCCUGUAGUUUCUGUUUUGUUAGUGAUUGAUGCAGAUCAUGUCGCAUUUGUACGAAUUGGGAUAUGCAGCUGAAGACAUCAUAUCCAGCGUGUUUCGAGUGUGCCGAAAUCACAAUCUUCCAGAAUACAUAAUGCUUGAGUUUAUCCAGGAAAUAGGGUUGACACACAUGAAAAUAGCUCAAGGACUCGGUUCGUUACUGCAAAUGUCUGGCUUGCUAGCGCGAUUGUGCAAGAGAGUCAUCGCCCCCGAAAAGUUUUCCAUGUGAAUUUUUUGUACCUACAAAAAUAAAUCAUUUUUGAGAAAAACAA
rnacentral:misc_RNA from 1 species